rnacentral:lncRNA from 1 species
CAAAGAGCAGCUCAACCCAUAUUGUUAUUUAAUUCUAAGGAUAAAGCCAUCUUCCCAUGGAGAAGGCGAUGUGCACAGGAGAUAAUGUUAAUGAAACUCUAUACCUGGGGCUGGAAUCAUCAGCAAUUAUUCAUCAAUAAGGAAGAAGAGAUAGUGACAUUUGAAUUAAGACCAGAAGGAAGUGAGAAAAUGAAUAAUGCAAACAUUUGGGGAAAGAGCACUCUAGGCAGAGGAGGCAACUGCAAAGGCCACUGUUGUGGGUAUAAUUGUGUUCUCCUGAAAGAAGACACAGAAACAGAGACACAUGGGAGAAUGCCAUGUGAUGACAGAGGAGAGACUGAAAUGGUACAGCCACAAGCUCAGGAAUGCCAAGAAUUGAGAGCCACCACCAGAAGCUAGGAAGAGGUAAG